AUUACGAUGCGGCUAGGUAGGCGAUUUACGAACCCGUUCGGUGUCGAGCCGGUUCGUGAUGUCGGCGGUUUCUCGAUCGUGGAUUGGGCUUGGCGGGGUGUUGGAAACCCUAGGUAAUUUCGGAGCCUUUUGUUUUGUAUAAAACGGCAAUAGAGAAGUUACAGAAGGAAUUGCGAAAUUGAGAGAGAACGAAGUUGAGCGAGAAAUUAGGGUUUUCUGUUAUCUCUAGCGAGAGUUAUGUCGAAUCGAAUGGAGGAUUACGAAGAAGACGAGAUCGAGAUCCAGGAGGAGCGCAGCGGAGGAGGAAGAGGACGAGGGGGGAGUUUGAAGCGGGGGAGAUUGGAUUCUGAUGAGAUUCAGAGGCGGAAAGGUAGAGCUUCGAAUUCGAAGCAUUCGAAGCGGAAGAAAUUUGCAGAUGAGGAGGAUGAGGAGGAGGAGGAAGAAGGAGGUGGUGGGAGGCCUUUCAAGUCGAUGUUUGUGGAUGAUGAGGCUAUAGAGGAUGAAGAUGAGGACGAGGAGGAUGAAGAUGAGGGUGAAUUGGACGGGUUUAUUGUUGAUGAACCGGAAUUUGACGAUGAGCCUGAUGAGGUUGAUCAUGAUGGUGGCGGCAGCGGCGGCGGUGGUAGGAGAAGGACGGGGUUUGUGCUGCCCGAGGAAGAGGAGGAGGAGGAUAUUGAGGAGUUUGAAAGAAGGAUUAAUGACAGAUAUGGGCCUAUGCAUGUCGAAGAAUAUGAGGAUGAUACAGAAAUCGGGCAGCAGGCUCUUAUACCUGGUGUUAGGGACCCCAAAUUGUGGUUGGUGAAGUGUGCCAUUGGUAGAGAGAGAGAGGUGGCGGCUUGUCUAAUACAGAAGUGUAUUGAUAAUCCUGGAGAAUUGCAGAUCAUGUCUGCCGUUGCUUUGGAUCAUUUGAAAGGCUUCAUAUAUGUUGAAGCUUACAGAGAAGCCCAUGUGAGGGAAGCUUGCAAAGGUCUGCGGUAUGUAAUUCUUCAGAAAAUAACACUUGUUCCUAUUAAGGAGAUGACUGAUGUGAUAUCUGGGGAAAGCAAGACCAUUGUACAUGAUAAGUGGGUUAGGAUUAAGACCGGAAUAUAUAAAGGGGACCUUGCUAAGGUUGUGGGGCAUGUCCCAGGGAGACAGCAAGUUAGGGUUAAGGUCAUUCCGAGGUUUGAUUUACAAGCUCUUGCAGAGGGUGUAGAAUCGUCGAAGAAGGGAUCUGGUGCACGUCCUGAUCGUGUUCCUGCACUUCUUUGGAACAUGGACCUUGUUAGAAAUCAGGGUGUUCGUGUACAGUCUGCACGAGAUCCGUUGGGACGUGGUUAUAUUGAGAAGAUUGAUGGCUUACCUGGGAUGAUCUUUAAAGAUGGUUUCCAUCUUAAAGUUGUUUCUGAUAAAAGUAUAAAAGAGGCAAAACCCUCUUUGCAAGAACUUGAGGAAUUCCAGGAACUGAGAAGUAAGAAGGGUGAUGUAGUUGUUGAUUCAAUUCCAAAUAGAAAGAAAGGCGAAGGUUUUAUGAAGGGUGAUGCAGUUGUUGUUACAGAGGGAGAUCUGAGGAACCUAGUGGGACGGGUUGACAAAAUUGAGUUAGGAAUUGUUCAUUUCAGACCCGAAAUGGAAGGCCUCCGGAAACUGUAGCCAUCAAGCAAACAGCGCUUCAGAAAUGCUUCAAAGAAGGGCAGCAUGUGAAGGUUGUAAGUGGUAGUCAACAAGGAGCAACUGGUAUGGUUGUUACGGUUGAUCAGCAGAAGCACUUGAUCACCAUUUUAUCUGAUGCAACCAAGGAAGCUAUCUGUGUGUUCUCUGAUCAUGCUGUAGAGAGUUGCGAAGUGAAUAAUGGUGAUACAAUGGGUGACUCCCCCAGCGUAAGGUAUCACAAAACUCCUGCUCGAUUUCCGAGGUUUUCUGGGGGUGGAAGAGGGCGUGAUGGACAGGAUGGUUUCAGUAAAGGGAUCCGAGUAAAACUGCGGCUAGGUCCCUAUAAGGGAUGCAGGGGGCGUGUGGUGGAGGUUAAAGGAUCAAAUGUAAGGGUUGAACUAGAGUCCCAGAUGAGAACUGUUGUUGUUGAUCAUUUGCAUUGUAUUUCGGACUCUGAUAAUGGGGCUGCUGCAGCUACAACACCAUAUCGUUCAGGUUUUGAGACGCCAAUGCCUUACAUGCAGACUCCCAUGAGAGAUACUGGAGCAAUGUCAAUGCCUUACCUGAUGACUCCCCUUAGAGAUCCUGCAGCAAGCCCAACGCCUUACAUGAUGACUCCCAUGAGAGAUCCAGGAGCAACACCUUACAUGAUGACUCCCAUGAGAGAUCCAGGAGCAACACCUUACAUGAUGACUCCCAUGAGAGAUCCAGGAGCAACACCUUACAUGAUGACUCCCAGAAGAGAUCCCCGAGCAACACCAGUACAUAGUGGUAUGAGGACUCCUCCUAUGACUCCCAUGAGAGAUCCCCGAGCAACACCAAUACAUGGUCACGUGGGAACUCCUCCUAUAUAUUAGGGCUUUGAUUGUACUUCGGUUUGUCAAAUGUUGGAUGUGGUGAACAAAUUUACUUUUGUUUCCUUGGUCUUUCACUCUUUCUUUUUUCGUUCAGUUGUAUUAAUCUGAUAAUCUCAGUUUUCUUGUUUUUAGAAAUUCAUGCUUUUCACUACAUGAUUGAGUUGAAUACAUUGUUCUAUUUUGUUUUUCCAC